CAGCAGCCGCGGUAAUACAGAGGGUGCGAGCGUUAAUCGGAUUUACUGGGCGUAAAGCGCACGCAGGCGGUCUGUCAAGUCGGAUGUGAAAUCCCCGGGCUCAACCUGGGAACUGCAUUCGAAACUGGCAGGCUAGAGUCUUGUAGAGGGGGGUAGAAUUCCAGGUGUAGCGGUGAAAUGCGUAGAGAUCUGGAGGAAUACCGGUGGCGAAGGCGGCCCCCUGGACAAAGACUGACGCUCAGGUGCGAAAGCGUGGGGAGCAAACAGGAUUAGAUACCCGAGUAGUCCCCUGUCUCUUAUA
rnacentral:rRNA from 1 species